UCGCCCAUUAUAAAUGGUGUUUCCAUGGUCUUAUCCAACUUGUCGUAGGCCUUAUAGAAUUGCUUGCAAU
rnacentral:snoRNA from 1 species